UACAGAGGUCUCAAGCGUUGUUCGGAUUCAUUGGGCGUAAAGGGUGCGUAGGUGGCGGGGUAAGUCAGGUGUGAAAUCUCGGGGCUCAACCCCGAAACUGCACUUGAUACUGCCUUGCUCGAGUACUGGAGAGGAGAUUGGAAUUUACGGUGUAGCAGUGAAAUGCGUAGAUAUCGUAAGGAAGACCAGUGGCGAAGGCGAAUCUCUGGACAGUUCCUGACGCUGAGGCACGAAGGUCAGGGGAGCAAACGGG
rnacentral:rRNA from 1 species